rnacentral:rRNA from 1 species
UCGCCUGUUUAUCAAAAACAUCGCCUCUUGCUUUACAUAAGAGGUCCCGCCUGCCCUGUGACUUAGUUUAACGGCCGCGGUAUUAUAACCGUGCGAAGGUAGCAUAAUAAAUUGUUCUCUAAAUAAGGACUAGUAUGAAAGGCAUCACGAGGGCUUAACUGUCUCCCUUUUCCAAUCAAUGAAACUGAUCUUCUCGUGAAGAAGCGAGAAUAAAUUUAUAAGACGAGAAGACCCCAUGGAGCUUUAAACUUCUCACCACUUAUUUAUCAUUACACCACUAUAUAUAAUAAAAAUGUUAAUUGAAAGUUUUCGGCUGGGGUGACCCUGGAGAAAAAUAAAUCCUCCAGGAUGAACGGAAUAAAAUCCUAAUCAAAGAGCUACAGCUCUAAGAAUCAAAACACUGACAUCAUUGACCCAACCAUUUGAUCAACGAACCAAGUUACCCUGGGGAUAACAGCGCAAUCCAUUUCAAGAGCCCCUAUCGACAAAUGGGUUUACGACCUCGAUGUUGGAUCGGGGUAUCCCAGUGGCGCAGCCGCUACUAAAGGUUCGUUUGUUCAACGAUUAAUAACCCCACGUGAUCUGAGUUCAGACCGGA